CCUGUACUUGGAUAAACUGCGAUGUGGGGACGGAGUAGGUUAGGUUAUCGCACUGUUGGAUAUGUGCGUUUAAGUUGGUAGGUGGGAAGUUUAGGCAAAUCCGGACUUCCUUAACACUGAGAGAUGAUGACGAAGCUCUACGGAGCUGAAGUAACCGAUACCACACUUCCAGGAAAAGCCACUAAGCUUCAGGUUUAUCUAAACCGUACUGAAAACCGACACAGGUGGUCAGGUAGAGAAUACUCAGGCGCUUGAGAGAACUCGGGUGAAGGAACUAGGCAAAAUAGCACCGUAACUUCGGGAGAAGGUGCGCCGGCGUAGAUUGUAAGGGCUAGCCCCUGAAGG
rnacentral:rRNA from 1 species